UAAUACGUAGGGAGCAAGCGUUGUCCGGAUUUAUUGGGUGUAAAGGGUGCGUAGGCGGCUACAUAAGUCAGGCGUGUAAUUCAGAGGCUUAACCUCUGAACUGCGCUUGAAACUGUGUGGCUUGAGUGGAGUAGAGGCAGAUGGAAUUUCCAGUGUAGCGGUGAAAUGCGUAGAUAUUGGAAGGAACACCAGUGGCGAAGGCGAUCUGCUGGGCUCUAACUGACGCUGAGGCACGAAAGCAUGGGGAGCAAACAGGAUUAGAUACCCUGGUAGUCCAUGCCGUAAACGAUGAUUACUAGGUGUGGGGGGACUGACCCCUUCCGUGCCGGAGUUAACACAAUAAGUAAUCCACCUGGGAAGUACGAUCGCAAGGUUGAAACUCAAAUGAAUUGACGG
rnacentral:rRNA from 1 species